rnacentral:rRNA from 1 species
UGGGGAAUAUUGCACAAUGGGGGAAACCCUGAUGCAGCGACGCCGCGUGAACGAAGAAGUAUUUCGGUAUGUAAAGUUCUAUCAGCAGGGAAGAUAAUGACGGUACCUGACUAAGAAGCACCGGCUAAAUACGUGCCAGCAGCCGCGGUAAUACGUAUGGUGCAAGCGUUAUCCGGAUUUACUGGGUGUAAAGGGAGCGUAGACGGCAGCGCAAGUCUGAAGUGAAAGCCCGGGGCUCAACCCCGGAAUGGCUUUGGAAACUGCGCGGCUAGAGUACCGGAGGGGUAAGCGGAAUUCCUAGUGUAGCGGUGAAAUGCGUAGAUAUUAGGAGGAACACCAGUGGCGAAGGCGGCUUACUGGACGGUAACUGACGUUGAGGCUCGAAAGCGUGGGGAGCAAAC